GAAAAUGUUUUCUUUUUCUUCCCUCGGCGAAAUCGGAAGAAAUCUACAACACUUGGGACUUCAUCUCACCUGCGAUCUUCUUCUAAGGAUCCGACAUGAUGACGAACCCAAACCCGACCAUUGAUUGAAAGCAGCUUCGCCGGAAAGAUGGAAUAUGGAUGUGUUGAUAU